UACGGAGGGGGCGAGCGUUAUUCGGAAUUAUUGGGCGUAAAGGGCGCGUAGGCGGCUGUACAAGUCAAAGGUGAAAUCCCUCGGCUCAACUGAGGAACUGCCUUUGAAACUGUACGGCUUGAGGCCGGGAGGGGGUAGCGGAAUUCCCAGUGUAGCGGUGAAAUGCGUAGAUAUUGGGAGGAACACCGGUGGCGAAGGCGGCGACCUGGGUAGAUACUGACGCUGAGGCGCGAAAGCGUGGGGAGCAAACAGG
rnacentral:rRNA from 1 species